rnacentral:tRNA from 1 species
ACCAAAGUGGUGAAAUUGGCAGACACGCUAGGUUUAGGUUCUAGUUCUUUUCAAGGAGUAGGGGUUCAAGUCCCCUCUUUGGUA